rnacentral:rRNA from 1 species
CAUGGCUCAGAGUGACGCUGGCGGCGUGCUUAACACAUGCAAGUCGAACGAGAACGGAUUAUAGCUUGCUAUAAUUGUCAGCUAAGUGGCGCACGGGUGAGUAAUGUAUAGGUAAUAUGCCUCUUACUAAGGGAUAACAAAUGGAAACGUUUGCUAAUACCUUAUACUCCUUAUUAACAGAAGUUAAUAAGGGAAAGAUUUAUUGGUAAGAGAUUAGCCUGUAUUGUAUCAGUUAGUUGGUGGGGUAAUGGCUUACCAAGACUAUGACACAUAACUGGUUUGAGAGGAUGAUCAGUCACACUGGAACUGAGACACGGUCCAGACUCCUACGGGAGGCAGCAGUGGGGAAUAUUGCACAAUGGACGGAAGUCUGAUGCAGCAACGCCGCGUGGAGGAUGACACAUUUCGGUGCGUAAACUCCUUUUAUAUGAGAAGAUAAUGACGGUAUUAUAUGAAUAAGCACCGGCUAACUCCGUG